rnacentral:rRNA from 1 species
CGAAGAACCUUACCAGGUCUUGACAUCCCCUGACAACCCGAGAGAUCGGGCGUUCCCCUUCGGGGGACAGGGUGACAGGUGGUGCAUGGUUGUCGUCAGCUCGUGUCGUGAGAUGUUCGGGUUAAGUCCCGCAACGAGCGCAACCCUCGACCUUAGUUGCCAGCAUUCAGUUGGGCACUCUAAGGUGACUGCCGGCUAAAAGUCGGAGGAAGUGGGGAUGACGUCAAAUCAUCAUGCCCCUUAUGACCUGGGCUACACACGUGCUACAAUGGGCGGUACAAAGGGUCGCGAACCCGCGAGGGGGAGCCAAUCCCAAAAAGCCGCUCUCAGUUCGGAUUGCAGGCUGCAACUCGCCUGCAUGAAGCCGGAAUCGCUAGUAAUCGCGGAUCAGCAUGCCGCGGUGAAUACGUUCCCGGGCCUU